CGGUUUGCAGAGUGGGGGAACCCCUCCUUGUUGGUAGAUGAACCUCACGAAGGCAGCCCCUGAGUCACCGGGCUCCAAGACGUCGGCGUACAGCCAGAUCAUCACUCCGUAGUAGAUGAACCCAUGCUCGUCGGUAUCCCCGAAGAUGAAGUGCGGGCGAUAUUGACCCUGUCCAUAGAUCCCAUGCUUCCGCGAUCGGUUGAGCUCUAGGGUCACGGAAGCCCAGGCCACUCCCUCGAAAUCUCCGGAUAAUCCCUUCGGGCUCGUGCUACUCAAUGGGGGCGCCAACUCCGGUCUGGGUCGGGCGUGAGUCC
rnacentral:misc_RNA from 1 species